rnacentral:rRNA from 1 species
AGCGAACGCUGGCGGCAGGCCUAACACAUGCAAGUCGAACGAAGUCUUCGGACUUGGUGGCGGACGGGUGAGUAACACGUGGGAACGUACCUUUUGGUUCGGAACAACUCAGGGAAACUUGAGCUAAUACCGGAUGAGCCCUUAGGGGGAAAGAUUUAUCGCCGAAAGAGCGGCCCGCGUUAGAUUAGCUAGUUGGUAAGGUAAAGGCUCACCAAGGCUACGAUCUAUAGCUGGUCUGAGAGGAUGAUCAGCCACACUGGGACUGAGACACGGCCCAGACUCCUACGGGGGGCAGCAGUGGGGAAUCUUGCGCAAUGGGCGAAAGCCUGACGCAGCCAUGCCGCGUGAAUGAUGAAGGUCUUAGGAUUGUAAAAUUCUUUUACCAGGGACGAUAAUGACGGUACCUGGAGAAAAAGCCCCGGCUAACUUCGUGCCAGCCGCCGCCGUAAAAC